rnacentral:lncRNA from 1 species
UAACAAAACCCCACUUUGUAGUGAGGUUGAGGGAAAAAACAAUGAGGUCUCUAAUGGCCUCCGCAACAGUCACUCUUGUGUUAGCAAUACUGUCUCUAAGCUUGCCAUCUCAAAUCUCAGCUGAUACCUACUUGUACUCAUCACCUCCUCCUCCCAAGAAGCCCUAUUAUUAUCACUCUCCUCCACCACCUUCACCUCCUCCACCUAAGCCAUACUACUAUCAUUCACCACCACCACCUUCACCUCCUCCACCCAAGCCAUACUACUAUCACUCACCACCACCACCUUCACCUCCUCCACCUAAACCAUACUACUAUCACUCACCACCACCACCUUCACCUCCUCCACCUAAACCAUACUACUAUCACUCACCACCACCACCUUCACCUCCUCCACCUAAACCAUACUACUAUCACUCACCACCACCACCUUCACCUCCUCCACCUAAGUCAUAUUACUAUCACUCACCACCACCACCACCCAAAAAGAAGCCAUACUACUACCAUUCUCCCCCACCACCUUCACCACCUCCUCCUAAGCCAUACUACUAUCACUCUCCCCCACCGCCUUCACCUCCUCCACCUACGCCAUACUACUAUCAUUCUCCCCCACCACCCUCACCACCUCCACCUAAGCCAUACUACUACCAUUCACCACCACCCCCACCGAAGAAGAAGCCUUACUACUACCACUCUCCACCACCACCUUCACCUCCUCCUCCAAAGAAGCCAUACUACUACCACUCCCCACCUCCUCCCAAGAAGCCCUACAAAUAUUCAUCUCCCCCACCUCCAGUGCACCCUUACCCUCAUCCUCACCCCCAUCCCCAUCCACACCCCCACCCUCACCCUCCCUACGUUUACAAAUCUCCUCCCCCACCCCCUAAGAAGCCAUACAAGUACCCAUCCCCACCACCUCCAGUCCACGUUUACCCUCACCCUCACCCGCAUCCACACCCUCACCCUCAACCUCACCCCCAUCCACAACCCCACCCUCCCUACAUUUAUCAGUCUCCUCCACCACCCCCUAAGAAGCCUUACAAGUACCCAUCGCCUCCACCUCCCGUCCACCCAUACCCCCAUCCCCACCCUCUUCCUCAUCCCCACCCUCACCCUCUUCCACAUCCCCACCCUCUUCCCCAUCCUCACCCUCUUCCUCAUCCCCACCCUCUUCCCCAUCCUCACCCCCUCCCUCCUUACACUCCUCAUCCAAUCUAUCACUCUCCAUCACCACCACCACCUUACAAGAAGCCUUACAAGUACAAGUCCCCUCCACCACCUCCACACUACAUCUACGCAUCACCUCCACCUCCUUACCACUCUUAGACAGUGGUCAACUAGCAUAGUUCUAUGGUAACCUUCUUCAUACCUACGUACAUGCUACAUUAUUAUAAUUUCUCAUUAAUGGUUCCGCAUUUUUUUACAUCUAUACUUGUUCCCAAAAAAUGAAUACCAAACCCUCGUGAUCCCUGUCAAGGUUUUUAACUUGAUACGGAAAAUGAUUUUUCUGGUUUGGUUUUAUAGGGACCACGUACCCCUCACUGAAAUUGACAGACACUAUAAUAAUAUGUGCAUGUGUUCUAAUGUUU